UAUUGGGCCAACAAAACGCUUUGUUUUGAACUUAAAUCUGAAUGUCUUGUGGUGGAGAAAGAAUUCUUUAACUAUCCUGCAACAGUUUAGUGCUUACACCCAGAUUCAUUCAUCAUCAUGUAUGAUAGAAAAAUUUUAAGAAAGGCGACAGAUACUGACUUGAGUAGAAGCCAAGAGAAACUGGAGAUCUUGGCAUUUUUGGACCCAGGAUUUUUGUCUGUUUUAUUUAUAUCCUACAGUAUUAGCACAAUGACUGGGCUACUCAGUGGAUGAUUUCUGAAUGAAAGAAUGAGUGAUGCUGGGGGUCAAAGCUGGGGAAUAAUGGCAGUAAACACUGCACAAAUAUAAUAGUAGACAUAUACUUGGCGUGUUCUAAAUGAGCCCGAUUAGUGCUUUUUUUAUAUCAUAUCCUAUAAAAGUAA